rnacentral:RNase_P_RNA from 1 species
CCAGUUGGCCGGGCAGCCGCGCUUUACCAAUGCCGAAAGGCGGUAGGGUGAGGAAAGUCCGGGCUCCACGGAAAUACGGUGCCGGAUAACGUCCGGCGGGGGUGACCCCAGGGAAAGUGCCACAGAAAGGAAACCGCCCCGCCUGCUGUCCUGCUCGUUCAUCUGGAGCAGGAGAGGUGGCGGGGUAAGGGUGAAAGGGUGGGGUAAGAGCCCACCGCGGGCCUGGCAACAGGGACGGCAAGGUAAACCCCACCGGGAGCAAGACCGAAUAGGGAUGACGCGGGUGCCGCUUGCGGCGCUACAGCCUGUCUCCGGGCCAGUCAUCCGGGUGGGUUGCGUGAGGCAGCGUGCAAACGCUGUCCCAGAUGAAUGGCUGCCACGUUCCGGUGCUUUGGCGCCGGUGCCAUACAGAACCCGGCUUACAGGCCAACUGGCAAU